rnacentral:rRNA from 1 species
AACGAACGCUGGCGGCAUGCCUAACACAUGCAAGUCGAACGAGACCUUCGGGUCUAGUGGCGCACGGGUUCGUAACGCGUGGGAACCUGCCCUUAGGUUCGGAAUAACUCCCCGAAAGGGGUGCUAAUACCGGAUAAUGUCUUCGGACCAAAGAUUUAUCGCCUUUGGAUGGACCCGCGUUGGAUUAGCUGGUUGGUAGGGUAAAAGCCUACCAAGGCGACGAUCCAUAGCUUGUCUGAGAGGAUGAUCAGCCACACUGGGACUGAGACACGGCCCAGACUCCUACGGGAGGCAGCAGUGGGGAAUAUUGGACAAUGGGCGAAAGCCUGAUCCAGCAAUGACGCGUGAGCGAUGAAGGUCUUAGGGUUGUAAAGCUCUUUUACCCGGGAUGAUAAUGACAGUACCGGGAGAAUAAGCUCCGGCUAACUCCGUG